CAUGUUUUGGUGUCUGCCGAU
rnacentral:miRNA from 1 species